rnacentral:tRNA from 1 species
GGGCGCGUAGCUCAAUGGCGGAGCAAGGUCCUUAUAAGGCCGAGGCUGAAGGUCCGACUCCUUCCGCGCCCA